AUGGAAUUUAUGCGCUUGUUCAAGGGAUUGUUUCCGGAUCUGGAUGGCUACGAAGAUGCGGAUGAAGGGCCCGCUGAAAAAAAAUGCAUUUUCUUUAUAAACGGUCUGCAAUCCGCGGAGCAGUGGGAGUUUAUAAAACUCUUCGUGGAGGGGAAUACUGAGAGUCGUAUCAUCCUUAUUGCAAAUGAAGAAAAUGUCUCCAACCACUUUGUAGAACAUCUGGAAGCCAACAACGCUGUUCAUCCCUUGACCAAGGCCUCUGACUACUAUGGAUAUGGAGAUAACAAGGUGGCUUCUCGAAGUAUCUUUUUGUCCAACAGAAUGGAAGUGAGUCGUAUAUUCGUGGAUUCUCAACAGGACGUGGCUGGUACGAUAUGGCGUACUCUAGAUGGUACUGGGGUCAGCUCGGUAUGGGGCAUUGCUGGUGUUGGGAAAUCAACUCUCGUGAAAGUCAGAUACCAAGACCUCAAGAAAGAUUCGCGUUGGUCUAGAAACCUUUACUUGGAAAGGUUUGCAUGGGUCGAUGUGCCGGCUGGUCCAUUUGAUUUGGUGGAAUUUUCUCGGCUCUUACUUCUGGAUUUCCAUCACUGUGAUCUUGAGGCCAUGGAAGCUGCAGCAAUUGGUAUUAUGCAGGGUCAGGACCCAAUUCAAGGGUGCCGUGAAAUUCUGCGUCAAGACGGGUAUCUCGUCAUUAUUGAUGGUCUGCGGUCCACACAUGACUGGGACUUGAUCGAAACUGUGUUUUUAUCCCAGCCUACUAAAAAAGCCAAAAUAGUUGUCAUCACAACUGAAGAAAGCAUCGCCAAACAUUGUGUCAAGCCGCAGGCAAAUGAAGUGAUCAAUGUCAAAUGUCUAGAGGAUGCCGAUGCCUGUCUUAUCUUCAACAAGAUACAGAGGGCACACGAUCUUCUUGGGUUCAUCAUCACUACUAGGACACAGGUUCCCCGAGGGAAGACUUUUAUUAUGUAG
rnacentral:rRNA from 1 species